rnacentral:tRNA from 1 species
GCCGGGAUGGCGGAACUGGCAGACGCACGGGACUCAAAAUCCCGCGGGGGCAACCCCAUGAGGGUUCGACUCCCUCUCCCGGCACCA